UGGGGAAUAUUGCACAAUGGGGGAAACCCUGAUGCAGCAACGCCGCGUGAAGGAAGAAGUAUUUCGGUAUGUAAACUUCUAUCGACAGGGAAGAAACAAAUGACGGUACCUGAAUAAGAAGCACCGGCUAAAUACGUGCCAGCAGCCGCGGUAAUACGUAUGGUGCAAGCGUUAUCCGGAUUUACUGGGUGUAAAGGGUGAGUAGGCGGUCAUGCAAGUCAUAUGUGAAAUGUCAGGGCUUAACCUUGGCGCUGCAUAAGAAACUGUAUGACUAGAGUGCAGGAGAGGUAAGCGGAAUUCCUAGUGUAGCGGUGAAAUGCGUAGAUAUUAGGAAGAACACCGGUGGCGAAGGCGGCUUACUGGACUGUUACUGACGCUGAGUCACGAAAGCGUGGGGAGCAAACA
rnacentral:rRNA from 1 species